rnacentral:rRNA from 1 species
CAGUAGCCGCGGUAAUACGUAGGGUGCAAGCGUUAAUCGGUAUUACUGGGCGUAAAGCGUGCGCAGGCGGUUCUAUAAGACAGAUGUGAAAUCCCCGGGCUCAACCUGGGAACUGCAUUUGUGACUGUAGAGCUGGAGUGCGGCAGAGGGGGAUGGAAUUCCGCGUGUAGCAGUGAAAUGCGUAGAUAUGCGGAGGAACACCGAUGGCGAAGGCAAUCCCCUGGGCCUGCACUGACGCUCAUGCACGAAAGCGUGGGGAGCAAACAGGAUUAGAUACCCCAGUAGUCCCUGUCUCUUAUAC